GCCCUUAGAGUUGAUUCCUGGCUCAGGACGAGCGCUGGCGGCGCGCCUAACACAUGCAAGUCGAACGAGAGAUGAGGAGCUUGCUCUUCAGAUCGAGUGGCGAACGGGUGAGUAACGCGUGAGGAACCUGCCUCAAAGAGGGGGACAACAGUUGGAAACGACUGCUAAUACCGCAUAAGCCCACGGCUCGGCAUCGAGCAGAGGGAAAAGGAGCAAUCCGCUUUGAGAUGGCCUCGCGUCCGAUUAGCUAGUUGGUGAGGUAACGGCCCACCAAGGCGACGAUCGGUAGCCGGACUGAGAGGUUGAACGGCCACAUUGGGACUGAGACACGGCCCAGACUCCUACGGGAGGCAGCAGUGGGGAAUAUUGCACAAUGGGGGAAACCCUGAUGCAGCGACGCCGCGUGGAGGAAGAAGGUCUUCGGAUUGUAAACUCCUGUUGUGAGGAAGAUAAUGACGGUACUCAACAAGGAAGGACGGCUACUCUG
rnacentral:rRNA from 1 species